CGAUUAUUUAAAUAUGAAAAUAUUACUUACAUUGGCAUCAGCUAGUGCCGCAAAAUUGGGUGUUAGAUAAAAUUUGAUUCCUUCGGCAGCUCCCGGAAGAGUGAUACCCCGAAAGAGAAGAAUGAAGAGAACAACAUAGGGAAAGAGUGCAGUGAACCACACUACCUUAAAAUAGAUGGAUAGAGCUUAUUAUUUAGAAUAACAAGCAUUAUUUUUAUUCGCACAUUAAUUGAUCUGAACGAGGUAUUUAAAUUAUAUAGGGCACGAUAAAAUUCAAAUGCUCAUUUCUAAUAUGUAAAACGAUAUAUUAUGUGUAGAAAAUUAGGAAAAGAAUCAAUCCAUCAUUUUCAGGAAGUGGCAAAUUAUCGGGAAGAGAAAAAAAGCAAUGAAUGGUAAAUAAAAUGAAAGAAGAGAAUUGGCUGUCUAGAAGAAAAAGUCACAUAAUUACAUAAAUCCGGAAGAUCAAGACAUGGAAACUCACUCUCCCUUACUUCCUUCUCUUCUGACCAAUUAAAACGCUUUAACGACAUGCGGACUUCCCUCUCCUCUGCUGAUGCCUCAGUUCUGAGCUUGAAUACUCUUUCUCCUAUUCACUCACACUCUAAAAACUUCUUCCAACUCGUCACGUGACCCUCGUCGAAUAUCUUCUCCUAUUUUCCUCUCUAUAUAUCCUCGUCCAGAUAAAAAAUAUUUGUAUCUUUUCCAGUAGAUUUUUUUAAAAGUUUUCUUUAAUUCAAAGCUUAUUUUAAAUAAUAUAUAUAUUUAUCUUAAUAUUUUGACAUUUCUG
rnacentral:lncRNA from 1 species